rnacentral:rRNA from 1 species
CAGCAGCCGCGGUAAUACAGAGGGUGCGAGCGUUAAUCGGAUUUACUGGGCGUAAAGCGCGCGUAGGUGGUUAAUUAAGUCAAAUGUGAAAUCCCCGAGCUUAACUCGGGAAUUGCAUUCGAUACUGGUUAGCUAGAGUAUGGGAGAGGAUGGUAGAAUUCCAGGUGUAGCGGUGAAAUGCGUAGAGAUCUGGAGGAAUACCGAUGGCGAAGGCAGCCAUCUGGCCUAAUACUGACACUGAGGUACGAAAGCAUGGGGAGCAAACAGGAUUAGAUACCCUGGUAGUCCAUGCCGUAAACGAUGUCUACUAGCCGUUGGGGGAUUUGAUCCUUUAGUGGCGCAGCUAACGCGAUAAGUAGACCGCCUGGGGAGUACGGUCGCAAGACUAAAACUCAAAUGAAUUGACGGGGGCCCGCACAAGCGGUGGAGCAUGUGGUUUAAUUCGAUGCAACGCGAAGAACCUUACCUGGCCUUGACAUAGUAGAAACUUUCCAGAGAUGGAAAGGUGCCUUCGGGAAUCUACAUACAGGUGCUGCAUGGCUGUCGUCAGCUCGUGUCGUGAGAUGUUGGGUUAAGUCCCGCAACGAGCGCAACCCUUUUCCUUACUUGCCAGCAUUUCGGAUGGGAACUUUAAGGAUACUGCCAGUGACAAACUGGAGGAAGGCGGGGACGACGUCAAGUCAUCAUGGCCCUUACGGCCAGGGCUACACACGUGCUACAAUGGUCGGUACAAAGGGUUGCUACACAGCGAUGUGAUGCUAAUCUCAAAAAGCCGAUCGUAGUCCGGAUCGCAGUCUGCAACUCGACUGCGUGAAGUCGGAAUCGCUAGUAAUCGCGGAUCAGAAUGCCGCGGUGAAUACGUUCCCGGGCCUUGUACACACCGCCCGUCACACCAUGGGAGUUUGUUGCACCAGAAGUAGGUAGUCUAACCGCAAGGAGGACGCUUACCACGGUGUGGCCGAUGACUGGGGUGAAGUCGUAACAAGGUAGCCGU